rnacentral:rRNA from 1 species
CCUACGGGAGGCAGCAGUAGGGAAUAUUGCUCAAUGGGGGAAACCCUGAAGCAGCAACGCCGCGUGGAGGAUGAAGGUUUUCGGAUUGUAAACUCCUUUUGUUAGAGAAGAUAAUUACGGUAUCUAACGACUACGCACCGGCUAACUCCGUGCCAGCAGCCGCGGUAAUACGGAGGGUGCAAGCGUUACUCGGAAUCACUGGGCGUAAAGAGCGCGUAGGCGGGAUAGCAAGUCAGAUGUGAAAUCCUAUGGCUUAACCAUAGAACUGCAGUUGAAACUGUUAUUCUAGAGUAUGGGAGAGGUAGGUGGAAUUCUUGGUGUAGGGGUAAAAUCCGUAGAGAUCAAGAGGAAUACUCAUUGCGAAGGCGACCUGCUAGAACAUAACUGACGCUGAUGCGCGAAAGCGUGGGGAGCAAACAGGAUUAGAUACCCCAGUAGUC